AUGAACGCUGGCGGCGUGCCUAAUCCCUGCAAGUCGCGCGCACAGACGAGGAGCUUGCUCCUCUGACGUUAGCGGCGGACGGGUGAGUAACACGUGGAUAACCUACCUAUAAGACUGGGAUAACUUCGGGAAACCGGAGCUAAUACCGGAUAAUAUAUUGAACCGCAUGGUUCAAUAGUGAAAGACGGUUUUGCUGUCACUUAUAGAUGGAUCCGCGCCGCAUUAGCUAGUUGGUAAGGUAACGGCUUACCAAGGCAACGAUGCGUAGCCGACCUGAGAGGGUGAUCGGCCACACUGGAACUGAGACACGGUCCAGACUCCUACGGGAGGCAGCAGUAGGGAAUCUUCCGCAAUGGGCGAAAGCCUGACGGAGCAACGCCGCGUGAGUGAUGAAGGUCUUCGGAUCGUAAAACUCUGUUAUUAGGGAAGAACAAAUGUGUAAGUAACUAUGCACGUCUUGACGGUACCUAAUCAGAAAGCCACGGCUAACUACGUG
rnacentral:rRNA from 1 species